rnacentral:rRNA from 1 species
CAGGCCUAACACAUGCAYGWCGAGGGGCAGCGGGGUAGCAAUACCGCCGGCGACCGGCGCACGGGUGAGUAACGCGUAUGUAACCUAGUUCACAAAGAGGGAUAGCCUUCCGAAAGGGAGAUUAAUACCACAUAUGAUGAUAGCUUCGCAUGGAGUAGUCAUGAAAAAUUUAUUGAUGUGAAAUGGACAUGCGUCUGAUUAGAUAGUAGGCGGGGUAACGGCCCACCUAGUCGACGAUCAGUAGGGGUUCUGAGAGGGAGAUCCCCCACAUUGGUACUGAGACAGGGACCAAACUCCUACGGGAGGCAGCAGUGAGGAAUAUUGGUCAAUGGACGGAAGUCUGAACCAGCCAAGUCGCGUGCAGGAAGACGGCCCUAUGGGUUGUAAACUGCUUUUGUACGAGGGUAAAAGGCGCUAUGUAUAGUGUUUUGAAAGUACCGUACGAAUAAGGAUCGGCUAACUCCGUGCCAGCAGCCGCGGUAAUACGGAGGAUUCGAGCGUUAUCCGGAUUUAUUGGGUUUAAAGGGUGCGCAGGCGGGCUAUUAAGUCAGUGGUGAAAUUUUGAAGCUCAACUUCAAAACUGCCGUUGAUACUGGUGGUCUUGAGAGAUGACGAAGUAGGCGGAAUGUGAUGUGUAGCGGUGAAAUGCUUAGAUAUGUCACAGAACACCGAUUGCGAAGGCAGCUUACUAGGGAUCUUCUGACGCUGAGGCACGAAAGCAUGGGUAUCAAACAGGAUUAGAUACCCUGGUAGUCCAUGCAGUAAACGAUGAGUGCUCGUUAUUUGCUCGUAGGAGUGAGUAACCAAGGGAAACCGAUAAGCACUCCACCUGGGGAGUACGCCGGCAACGGUGAAACUCAAAGGAAUUGACGGGGGCCCGCACAAGCGGAGGAACAUGUGGUUUAAUUCGAUGAUACGCGAGGAACCUUACCCGGGCUUGAAAUGUAGACGAACGAUUCAGAGAUGAAGAGGUCCAGCAAUGGCGUCUAUGUAGGUGCUGCAUGGUUGUCGUCAGCUCGUGCCGUGAGGUGUCGGCUUAAGUGCCAUAACGAGCGCAACCCACGUCUUCAGUUACCAUCAUUCAGUUGGGGACUCUGGAGAGACUGCCGCCGCAAGGUGAGAGGAAGGUGUGGAUGACGUCAAAUCAGCACGGCCCUUACGUCCGGGGCUACACACGUGUUACAAUGGCGUGGACAGCAGGAAGCAAAGCAGCGAUGCAGAGCGGAUCCAUAAACCACGCCAUAGUUCGGACUGGAGUCUGCAACCCGACUCCACGAAGCUGGAUUCGCUAGUAAUCGCGCAUCAGCCAUGGCSCGGYKGGUGCGUUCCCGG